rnacentral:lncRNA from 1 species
UGUGUCCAUGGUACAACAAGAGCAGGGCCUGGGACUGGGUUGAGCAUGAGAGAGGACACAGCCAGGACACAGGCUCAUGGGGUGAGUAGGUCACAGAGGAUCUACCUACCCCCCUGACACUCAGAGCCGAGGUGAAUGGUAAUCAAUCAGCUACUACACAUCUGAACAGCUGGGCCCUGAGAGAGGGGCAGGAGAGCAGCAGGGAGAAAACGAUGCUGAAAAGGGGGAGCCAGAGGGCUCUGACUGAGACUUCUCCCUUCUCUGCACACAGGGGGACUCCGGGGGCCCCUCAUGUGUAACAAUGUGGCCCAGGGUGUAAUCUCCUUUGGAAAAGACAAUGGGAAAUCUCCAUUUGUCUUCAUCAGCAUCUCAAGCUAUCUGCCCUCAAUAAAAAGAACAAUACUUCAGGUUGCAGGGCCCAGACUCAGGUGCCCCCAGGAUUGAUCUGGACGGGAUUGGAUGGGACAUGAUUCUUCUUCCCUGGGGUCGAGGCCAGAAUUGCCCUGGGCAGAGUAGGGUGGAGGGGAGGCUGCCAGGGACUUCAUAAACUUCCGUCUCUAGAAUGGAAAUCGUUGAUUCCUCCUUUAUUCAUCAAAAUAGCCUAUAGCCUACUGGGUAAAUUUUUCUUCUAUUUUUCAACAAUCUCUAAAUCUUCUAUAUAAGAAUGGAUUCAGAAAAGUAACCUCAUUUUUAAAACAUCCAGCUUGGAGAAGGCCAGACUGGAAAGAAUUGGUCUGCUGAAUGGUUGCCACUGAUGCGUGUGCUUCGACUACGGGAAAAUGUUUACUGGGUGGAAAAGCAAUACCUGUUCAUCAUAGAAAGACAGGAAAACCAGAAGCACAGGCCUGGGAGGUCUGCAAGGCCCUGAGCCAUACCCCUGCCUUCCCCUCGGGGACCGUGUGUCUUGAAGAAAGAAACACCAGCAGCUCUGACCUGAGCAGAACUUCAGGGAAGAUGCAGCGACUCCUGCUCUGCUUGGCCUUUCUUCUGCCCUCAAGGCUGGGACAGGUGAGUGACCAUCCCCAUUCCAGAGGCUCCAGCUCAUCUCACACAACCCUUUGUACACCUCAUCCUUCUGCCCAGUACAUUCAGGGAUUUUCCUCAAUUUCAGGCCAAGAACUUUCUAGACCCCAGCUCCCAUCCCAAGCUGAGACUAACAAGCCCAAUGCUACAUGGACACUUAACAAGGAUGGCCAGAAGGGAGGGUGUUCACUGAAAUAUUUAGUGUGUGAGCCUCUCUCUUG